rnacentral:tRNA from 1 species
GUAGUUGUGGCUCAGAGGUAGAGUACUCACUUAGCAUGCGGGAGGCACUGGGUUCUAUCCUCAGCACCACA